ACCUUAUCAUCUCUGUGGAUGUCUCUGGAAAGGAGGCUGCCAGGGUUUCUGCCACACUUCUUGGUAUCUUUGGGGGGAAAUGGUAAAUUAAAUUCAAUGAGGGAUUUGAAUAGCUCAGGAGACAAUUUCUGAUCAGACCACCACCUUUGCUCUUUCAAGAUAGAGAGAGAUCAACUGCCUCCCACCUGGAAUCUCUCUUCCCUCAAGAUUCCAAGCCUCCUCAACCAUUGCCCACUGUGGAUGGAAACCUUUGCAUAUCUUCCAGGCUCUGUCCUUCACAGUCUCUGGAUUAUUCCUCUAUCACAAUCAUCAUCACAUUCCCUGCAGCCUUCCCUUUGCCCCUCUCAGAGAACCAUCCCAUGAACAAGACACAGCUUUUGGAGAGAGGAAUAAGUCAGUAGAACUGAUUGAUAUAUUUUUUUAAAAGUCUGAAAAUGGGUACAAUGUAUAACAUCUGUCAACCUCCUACCUCCAAGUAGGGGGAUGAUGUGGUUAUCUUCAGAUCUCUUUAUUUGAG
rnacentral:lncRNA from 1 species